AUACACCCUGUAUAUACAUAUUUACAUAGCUACCUGUUUUCCAUGAGUGCCGUGCAAUUAAUAAUAUUUGAUAAAAUAUUUAAAGGUUACUGCAGUCAAACUUGAAUUUAUGUAAAGUACUAGCCUGUCGUAACUCGGCAGGAAGGAAGUUCCACAGUACCGCACCAUUAUGACCAAAACUAUUUUUCAAGUAGUUUGUACGAGGUUAUGAGAGCCCAGGUACGAGGUUGGAAUACUUGACUGGCUAUCUCUUAAACCAAUUUAUGGUUUGUUGUUCCUAACUUCAAAAUUUCGUUCAGUAUAAAGUUUAAGGUAAAUAAUGAGCCUGAAGCCUAGGCAUGCAGAGAAAAUAAAAAUGUUCUGAAUUUACUGUUUUGCGAC